rnacentral:rRNA from 1 species
UCCGCGAACGCUGGCGGCAUGCCUAAACAUGCAAGUCGUACGGAGAGUGGGGCGACUCACUCUCAGUGGCAAACGGGUGAGUAACACGUGAAUAACCUGCCUUUGAGAAGGGGAUAACUGUCCGAAAGGAUAGCUAAUACCCUAUAUUGCCUUUUGUCACUAAGGCAAAAGGUGAAAGCGAGGCUGUCAAAGGCUUCGGCUCAAAGAGGGGUUCGCGUCCUAUCAGGUAGUUGGUGGGGUAAUGGCCUACCAAGCCAAUGACGGGUAGCUGGUCUUAGAGGAUAAUCAGCCACAGUGGGACUGAGACACGGCCCGCACCCCUACGGGGGGCAGCAGUGGGGAAUCGUGGGCAAUGGGCGCAAGCCUGACCCCGCAAUGCCGCGUGAGGGAAGAAGCCCUUCGGGGUGUAAAGUACUUUCAGCGGGGAGGAAGGGAGUAAAGUUAAUACCUUUGCUCAUUGACGUUACCCGCAGAAGAAGCACCGGCUAACUCCGUGCCAGCAGCCGCGGUAAU